rnacentral:lncRNA from 1 species
UAGAGCACACACACAGCAUUUAUUGGAUACUCUGACACAUCAGAAGAGUUCCAACUAGUGUUUUAAUCCUAUUACUUAGAGUAACUAAAAUAGCACCAGUAUCUAUUCUACAGCCAUUUGAGCCUAAAGUGGAAACAAGAUGAGGAACAAGCUAUCUGAUCCUCAUGAGUAUUGAGAGGACUAAUUUAAUUUUGUCAAAUCCUUUCAAGUCCUUGAAUGAAAAAUACUUCAUCUGAAGGUCUCUGAACAGUUAAUUGAGCUCCUUCAAAAGUAUUAAUUGCUGAUGGAGACUGUACAGAAGGACAUAUGGAGAGAAAAAGAUCUGUUGUUUGCAUCCCUACUCUUCUGUCUUGUUAUUCAUCAUCAAAUGAAAGAAAAGAAAGUGAAUUUCAUGGAUCUUUCAACGUACCAGUGUUCAAAUAUUUUGAUCACUAGAGAAGAUCCACUUCCCUGAUGUCAGUUUUGAGUCCUAGAAAAAAAUAGAAAAUCUAUCACGGAUUACUUGGAAAAGCAGAAAUAUUGUUAAUGAAGAAUUAUAUUUAAUAAAGUAAGCUUAUAAACAAGAUUCUUACCCUUA